rnacentral:rRNA from 1 species
CACGCCGUAAACGAUGAGUGCUAAGUGUUGGAGGGUUUCCGCCCUUCAGUGCUGCAGUAAACGCAUUAAGCACUCCGCCUGGGGAGUACGGCCGCAAGGCUGAAACUCAAAGGAAUUGACGGGGGCCCGCACAAGCGGUGGAGCAUGUGGUUUAAUUCGAAGCAACGCGAAGAACCUUACCAGGUCUUGACAUCCUCUGACCGCUCUGGAGACAGAGUCUUCCCUUCGGGGACAAAGAGACAGGUGG